GAUGAACGCUGGCGGCGUGCCUAAUACAUGCAAGUCGAGCGAACAGACGAGGAGCUUGCUCCUCUGACGUUAGCGGCGGACGGGUAAGAACCCGUUGACAACCCUCCUUUUAGAACUGGAGAAAAUUCGGCAAACCGGGCCUAAACCCGGCAAAGCAUUGGAACGCCAUGGUUAACAGUUCCACCAGGCUUUUCCCCUCCCUUAAGAGUGGUCCCGGGCCCAAUUAGCUAGUUGGUAAGGUAACGGCUUACCAAGGCAACGAUGCGUAGCCGACCUGAGAGGGUGAUCGGCCACACUGGAACUGAGACACGGUCCAGACUCCUACGGGAGGCAGCAGUAGGGAAUCUUCCGCAAUGGGCGAAAGCUUGACGGAGCAACGCCGCGUGAGUGAUGAAGGUCUUCGGAUCGUAAAACUCUGUUAUUAGGGAAGAACAAAUGUGUAAGUAACUAUGCACGUCUUGACGGUACCUAAUCAGAAAGCCACGGCUAACUACGUG
rnacentral:rRNA from 1 species